AUGCCUCCUCAUCCUCGUCGGAGAUCGGACCUCGCUAGAGAUGAGUUCCCCACCGUGCCCUGCUCCCUUCCUUCCCCACCUGCUCUCUCUUUUUCUAUCUCCCUCUCACGCUACUCUCUCUCUCUCUCUCUCUCUCUCUGUUGUCUUCGCAGCACCACCAUGGAGGCCCUAGCUCCAACCCGUAGCAGCUGCGGCACGGGAGUCGCCAUCACCUUGCCUCCCUCCAGGAACCGAACAACGCCUGCCUCGCCAUGGAAGCGCCUCCUCGCCGUGGUCAUGGAGCCCCAAGCCCCGCCUCCUCCCCUGCGUCGCAAAGUUCAUCGCUGCUCGAGCUCCCGAGCUACUCUAGCGCCCCAUGGCCUCUGCCGCGCCAGAGCUUGGCUGCCGCCGGCGACAGCAACAACAACUCCGUCGUCGCCUUCCUCCUCUCUUCCCGUGCGCGCGGCCACCCAACCCCGUCGCCCUCUGUCUACAUCGUGCGCUCGUGCCGGAGCCAAGGGGGUCCCGACACCCUACAGAUUCCCCGCAGCCCUGCCUCGUCCAACCUCGCCGUCCCCGAGCUCUUUUUCGGCUGGAUCCGCCCCAACGCCGUGGUUCCUCGGCGCCCCGGACCUCCCCUGCGUCGCCCGCGCCAAGUCCCGCUGCCGCGCCCUUGUUCCUCUGUCGUGGCCCGCGCCAUCCCGGGCGAGCAAGCACCAGCAACGCCACAGCCAUCCUCGUCCAUGCGCUCGAGUCCACGAGCGAGGACCUCGCCGCGUCCCUGCCCAAGGACCACCCGGUCUGCCUCCCCCAGCCACCUCCCUGACGUGUCGCCCGUCAGACUCGCCGUUGUCGCUCCCUGCAUCGCCGUUGACUGCUGCGACCUCCUCCGCUUCGUCCAUGCCCAUGUUUUGUCCAAGGGGAACGAGCAGCGCAGCCCGUGCUCGAUCCGCUGGCACACAUUGCCUGCAAUCACGCUCUAGGCCACUUCGGCGCUAA
rnacentral:rRNA from 1 species